GCUUCUCUUGAGAGCGGCGGACGGGUGAGUAAUGCCUAGGAAUCUGCCUGGUAGUGGGGGAUAACGCUCGGAAACGGACGCUAAUACCGCAUACGUCCUACGGGAGAAAGCAGGGGACCUUCGGGCCUUGCGCUAUCAGAUGAGCCUAGGUCGGAUUAGCUAGUUGGUGAGGUAAUGGCUCACCAAGGCGACGAUCCGUAACUGGUCUGAGAGGAUGAUCAGUCACACUGGAACUGAGACACGGUCCAGACUCCUACGGGAGGCAGCAGUGGGGAAUAUUGGACAAUGGGCGAAAGCCUGAUCCAGCCAUGCCGCGUGUGUGAAGAAGGUCUUCGGAUUGUAAAGCACUUUAAGUUGGGAGGAAGGGCAUUAACCUAAUACGUUGGUGUCUUGACGUUACCGACAGAAUAAGCACCGGCUAACUCUGUGCCAGCAGCCGCGGUAAUACAGAGGGUGCAAGCGUUAAUCGGAAUUACUGGGCGUAAAGCGCGCGUAGGUGGUUUGUUAAGUUGGAUGUGAAAUCCCCGGGCUCAACCUGGGAACUGCAUUCAAAACUGACAAGCUAGAGUAUGGUAGAGGGUGGUGGAAUUUCCUGUGUAGCGGUGAAAUGCGUAGAUAUAG
rnacentral:rRNA from 1 species